AGACAACAGACGCCGUAACCAACGAAACGCUCUCAACUUGUCGGGCGCUCUCAGGCUCAGAUGAUACCUGAGAGUCCCAUGCUCUCUCACUCCAAAAAAUGACCAUUUUCUCAAAUAGAAACCCAAGACUUGAAUUUAUCCAACUGUUUCAUGUACUUCUCCUCUUGUCCUUGAAAUUAGCUGAAGCCAAGUGCAAAACUGGCUGCGACCUUGCCUUAGCCUCCUACAAUGUAUGGGCGGGAGUAAAUCUCACUUAUAUCAGCAAAAUCUUUAGCCAAAACAUCCCUGAAAUCCUCCUUUACAAUCCCCAUGUCCCAAACCCAGACAGCAUCCUUGCCGAUUCGAGAAUCGACGUACCCUUCUCGUGCGACUGCUUAAAUGGUGAUUUUUUGGGCCACACCUUCACUUACAAUACACAGCCUGGUGAUACCUACAGUAAAAUUGCGGGAAUUGCGUUUGCCAACCUCACCACCGAGGAUUGGGUUCAUAGGGUCAACAUUUAUGACGCUACUAAGAUCCCGGAACAUGCUAGUAUUAAUGUCACCGUCAAUUGCUCGUGUGGAGAUAAGCGUGUGUCCAAGAAUUAUGGGUUGUUCGCCACAUACCCACUUCGGCCGGGCGAGAAUUUGUCGUCCCUAGCGGCGGAUUCCGGUGCACCGGGCGACUUGCUGCAGAGGUACAACCCAGGGAUGAAUUUUAGUGCAGGAACUGGAAUCAUUUACGUGCCGGCAAAAGACACAACUGGAAACUACCCUCCAUUAAAAAUAAGUGCAGCCGGAAUUUCGAGCAGAGUUAUUGCUGGCAUAUCUAUUGCAGGAGUUGCAGGGGUUCUACUUUUUGCGUCUUGCAUAUAUUUCAGGUUUUAUAAGAAAAACAAGGUGAAGAAAUCAUUACUCUCAGAAACAAUUGAAAACCGCUGUACUCAACCUGGCCGAGGUAAUUAAGUGAAUGAAAUAUAUGAAAACUAUAUAUAUAUCAUUAUGUACGACAUAUGCCAUUGUACCUAACAAAAUUCUUAGUUAACAUGCUCAAAGAUUGUCCAACUUGGUAAAUGCAUCUUUGUUGGUUAAUAUGUGCUUAUCCUGUUGAUCUAGGUUACAGAAGUACCCCUGAUGAUAAAACUUCAAAAGCAACUUCUUUUGUUGCUACUUCGGGUCUUACAGGUAUUACAGUGGACAAAUCUGUGGAGUUCUCAUAUGAAGAGCUUGCAAAGGCUACUAAUGACUUUAGCAUGGCCAAUAAAAUUGGACAAGGUGGUUUUGGA
rnacentral:misc_RNA from 1 species